GCCGGGCGUGGUGGUGCGCGCCUGUAGUCCCAGCUACUGGGAGGCUGAGGCAGGAGAAUGGCAUGAACCCGGGAGGCGGAGUUUGCAGUGAGCCGAGAUAGCGCCACCGCACUCCAGCCUGGGUGACAAAGCAAGACUCUGUCUCAA
ensembl:misc_RNA Metazoa_SRP Metazoan signal recognition particle RNA